AUGUUGUGGGAUGAUGAGACAAUGGGAAGCACGCCGGAGUCAGCCAGGGACGCCCGGAGGGACGAGAUGCAUGGCCUUGGCCUCCGACGAGCUUGCGGUGAACUGCAAGCAGCCUUGCAAAUUCAUAAACAAUUUGAGUGGCCAUCAGAAUUGUGGAGCAACAGUGGAAAGUGCUAUAUGGAGCAUGACCGAUAUGUUCAAGUUUUUGGUAUUACAAGCAGACUGUAUGUUCCACCGUACGUCUCCAUGUUGUGUUUUUUUGUUUCUUUCAGUCAUCGCGCAUUGGUUGGGGACAAGUGA
rnacentral:rRNA from 1 species